UCUUUUUAAAAGCUGUAAGUCUCCAUCGAAAUCUUCUGUUUACAUUGUUGGACAUUGGUGCUAGUUCUAAUUUACAGUGCCUUUUUUGUUCCAACAUAUCACAUUGUACGUCAUGCUGAAGAUAGUCUGUAUAUUAGUGAGAAAAAGUCUGGUUUAUUGCUUACAAUGUUGGCUGUGUCUGCUGCUGUAAGCACAACAACAGUUGGUCUAAUAGCUGACCACCUCACUAUACAAUACAAGAUCAUGUUGCUACAAAUGCUAUUGCUGUUUGGUGGAAUAUCUACUACGCUACUUCUUUCUACCACACAUUCACACUUGUAGCAGUCUAUAUGGCAGCAUAUGGGGUGGCAAUGGCAUUCACAACUCUCGUAUCAGUGAUUACAGUAGCUAUAGUAGGUGAAGAACGAAGCAUACCUGCCUUGGGUAUGAUCACUCUAUAUACAAGCUCAGCAGUCAUUGGCCCGCCAAUUGCAGGUAUCUUGCCUGAUCAUAUGUUUUAUCUGUGCCAGACUACUCUUUUUACUAACACUACGUGUACUAUCCUGAUCUUUAUGUCUGCCCUCCUGUACAUGUUUUGCGUUCAUAAACUGCUAUCUAAUAUUCAGGCUGGAUGGAUGACAGAAGUGGCAAAUACAAUGAUGACAGCUUCCUUGUAUUUGAACUUGCACUUGUGACAGCUCUCCUUCUUAGUCUUUACAAAACAGUCAGAAGAUUACAAGCAAUAUCUAGGCAGCAAAAAAACAGCACACAAUCUGUCACACAACAUCAUGAGAAGCAUAGCCACUUUGAUUCUUUUGCAGUGAUGUCCAGAGAAACAACUGUAGAAGAGAUGACUAAAUCCACUAUAGUGUCUGAGACCAUAUUCUGCAUGCAGAAUGUAAAAAAUAUUUAUGAUUCUUGACAGAUGCAUGUUUAGCAAAUGCUAUGUCAAGAAACUAUUGAAUGUGACAAUUGCAAAUAGCCACUAAGUCAUGUAUUACACUAGUUUAUUAUACUAUAUGUACUUAAUGAAAAGGAAUCUAUUGAACGUUUAAAAGGAAA